GGGGGCCUCGUGGCUGAUUGGAUGUGGUGUUGGUGAGGGAGGAGGGGUCACAGAUUUCCAUCCUCCCAUGGGUGUUUCUAUCUCCCAGGCUAGGCUUCUUGUGUUUGCUUUCCUUCUUGCAGAACAAAGACAAAACCGGGCCCUUCCACACAGUAGCUGGAACACAAAGGAAGAUCAGCCAAGCCUCAACAUAAUCUCAUAAAAAUUCUUCAAAUAUCCCAUUGUUAUGGAUUCAUACAUCAGGAAAGCAGAUGCCAAGAACCUGAACACCUUCUACUGGUAACAUAUAUUUUGGCGAGCCAGCCUGGAGACAAGACCACUAUGGGCAACUUCCUGUCUAUUCUACCUGGUGUCACUGUGGACAACUUCCUAUCUAUUCCACCCGAUUCACCGCUUGGCUACAUCCUCCACCAUUGGGAUGAAUUUGACCCUAA
rnacentral:lncRNA from 10 species